CCCUUAGAUGUUCUGGGCCGCACGCGCGCUACACUGAGCCCUUCAUCGAGUUUACAACCUUGGCCGGUAGGUCUGGGUAAUCUUCUCAAAGGGGCUCGUGCUGGGGAUAGAUUAUUGUAAUUUUUAAUCUUCAACGAGGAAUUCCUAGUAAACGCAAGUCAACAGCUUGCAUUGAUUACGUCCCUGCCCUUUGUACACACCGCCCGUCGCUACUACCGAUUGAAUGGCUUAGUGAGCCCGAGGGACUGUUGCACCUAGAGGGUUUUCUCUCCAGGAGCAGCCGGGAACUCGGUCAAACUUGAUCAUUUAGAGGAAGGAGAAGUCGUAACA
rnacentral:rRNA from 1 species